rnacentral:tRNA from 1 species
GGGGCUGUGGCUCGUGAUAGAGCAACUGCUUGGUAUGCAGAAGGUCUCAUGUUCAAUCCCUGGCAUCUCCA